UACAGAGGUCCCAAGCGUUGUUCGGAUUCACUGGGCGUAAAGGGUGCGUAGGUGGCUUGGUAAGUUUAAUGUGAAAUCUCCGGGCUUAACCCGGAAAUGGCAUUGAAUACUAUUGAGCUGGAGGUUUGGAGGGGGGACUGGAAUUCUCGGUGUAGCAGUGAAAUGCGUAGAUAUCGAGAGGAACACCAGUGGCGAAGGCGAGUCCCUGGACAACACCUGACACUGAGGCACGAAAGCUAGGGGAGCAAACAGG
rnacentral:rRNA from 1 species